AAGGUGGGAGGGCGUACUGCAGGGCAGUAGGACUACGGCAACAGGGAGCAUGGACAAGGUGGGAGAGCGCACUACAGUGCAGGAUCACCUGGACAAACAUCUUGCAGCCAGAUUUUCAGCGGGUCCGCUUCCUGGUGCAAGCUGUCUACGAUGCUCUGCCAAGUCCAGCGAACCUCCAUGUGUGGGGGAAAAGUGAGACACCUUCCUGCCCACUGUGCUCUGGUAGAGGCUCUUUAGAACACCUCCUCAGUGGCUGCCCAAAGGCUCUGGCAGAUGGUCGCUAUCGCUGGCGCCAUGACCAGGUGCUUAAGGCAGUCGCUGAGAGCGUAGCCUCAGCCAUCAGCUCCAGCAAGAACCAUCAUGCUCCAAAGAAGGCAAUCUCCUUUGUUAAAGCUGGAGAAAAACCCAGAGCAAACCAACAUGCAACAUCAGGACUGCUCCACACAGCAGCUGACUGGCAGUUGCAGGUUGACCUGGGUAGGCAGCUGAGGUUCCCCCAGCACAUCGCAA